rnacentral:misc_RNA from 1 species
AACGCAAAUUGCGCUCGAGGCUUCGGCCAAGAGCAUGUCUGCCUCAGCGUCGGGUUAAAACUCGCUCUACCCUUCCUGGGUAAGAUGCGGAUAUGGCUGUCAGAGGAGCUCUUUGCUGCUCUGUCAGCUGAAGUAUACAGCUGUUGAUACAUGGACCCGCUCAUGGGCCUCUACUGGGUAGGCAAUUUAUUGCUCAUGCUUUAGUAGAUGGCUUAGGAUCUGUGUCUGUCAACACAAUCACAGGAGCGUGCUUAUGCACGCAUACCUCUUUUUCUCGACCUGAGCUCAGGCAAGAUUACCCGCUGAACUUAA